rnacentral:rRNA from 1 species
CUGGCUCAGAUUGAACGCUGGCGGCAGGCCUAACACAUGCAAGUCGAACGGUAACAGGAAGAAGCUUGCUCUUGCUGACGAGUGGCGGACGGGUGAGUAAUGUCUGGGAAACUGCCUGAUGGAGGGGGAUAACUACUGGAAACGGUAGCUAAUACCGCAUAACGUCGCAAGACCAAAGAGGGGGACCUUCGGGCCUCUUGCCAUCGGAUGUGCCCAGAUGGGAUUAGCUUGUUGGUGGGGUAACGGCUCACCAAGGCGACGAUCCCUAGCUGGUCUGAGAGGAUGACCAGCCACACUGGAACUGAGACACGGUCCAGACUCCUACGGGAGGCAGCAGUGGGGAAUAUUGCACAAUGGGCGCAAGCCUGAUGCAGCCAUGCCGCCGUGUAUGAAGAAGGCCUUCGGGUUGUAAAGUACUUUCAGCGGGGAGGAAGGGAGUAAAGCUAAUACCUUUGCUCAUUGACGUUACCCGCAGAAGAAGCACCGGCUAACUCCGUGCCAGCCGCGGC